AUCUUUGCGCUUUGGGCAAUGACGCAACUUGUGAGGUUCUAACAGAGGCGCGUCUAUUGCUGGUUGAAAACUUUAAGAGCAUGUGGAUGUAAAUUUUCCUUUUAUUUUGCCAAAAAAAAAAAUUUUCUUUUUCUAUUUUUCACAGUUAAUUUUACAA